CAAUACAUUGGUGGCGACCGGCGCACGGGUGAGUAACGCGUAUGCAACCUACCUAUCAGAGGGGAAUAACCCGGCGAAAGUCGGACUAAUACCGCAUAAAACAGGGGUUCCACAUGGAAAUAUUUGUUAAAGAUUUAUCGCUGAUAGAUGGGCAUGCGUUCCAUUAGAUAGUUGGUGAGGUAACGGCUCACCAAGUCUACGAUGGAUAGGGGUUCUGAGAGGAAGGUCCCCCACACUGGUACUGAGACACGGACCAGACUCCUACGGGAGGCAGCAGUGAGGAAUAUUGGUCAAUGGGCGAGAGCCUGAACCAGCCAAGUCGCGUGAAGGAUGAAGGAUCUAUGGUUUGUAAACUUCUUUUAUAUGGGAAUAAAGUGAGGAACGUGUUCCUUUUUGUAUGUACCAUAUGAAUAAGCAUCGGCUAACUCCGUGCCAGCAGCCGCGGUAAUACGGAGGAUGCGAGCGUUAUCCGGAUUUAUUGGGUUUAAAGGGUGCGUAGGUGGUUAAUUAAGUCAGCGGUGAAAGUUUGUGGCUCAACCAUAAAAUUGCCGUUGAAACUGGUUGACUUGAGUAUAUUUGAGGUAGGCGGAAUGCGUGGUGUAGCGGUGAAAUGCAUAGAUAUCACGCAGAACUCCGAUUGCGAAGGCAGCUUAC
rnacentral:rRNA from 1 species